AAUAUUCUCUCCAUACAUACACAGAGUAGUGUGUAUAUGCUUUUAAACUUUUUAUGUGAGAUGAAGAAUCAGUGCAGUUGUGAGAUGCGAUGCAGAGACGCCCAUGACCAUUCACCCCGUCUCCCUAGGUAACGCCCCAUGAACCUGCAGACCGACAGCUCCGCAUCACAACCUAAAGCUGAGCUUGUGCAGCUGCAGACUUGCCCAUGCCAUACCUGAAACAAAGCAUCCUUCUCUUUCCUGAUGAUGUUGUGCAAACAAGAUGGUUCUCCUUGCUUCUCAGACCACCAGCUCUGCUUCUCAUCUGGCCCAGCCUCCUGUGAAGUCAUAGCUCUGUGAUAUGGCAGCCGUUACCAAGAUGGAAAUGAUUAGGACGUCACGGGAGCUGGCACAGAAUGGCCCAUGUUCCGGACAGGACCAGGACCCCGGGUCCCAGCCACAGCUCUGCUGUCCGCCCAGUCCCGCUUGGUGGCUGGGGAAAGCCUCUUCGCCUUCCCCAAGUCAGUCCUCGCGGUCUGCUGGUCAUGGCCUCAGAAGCUUGGAUGCCUGCGCCUGGACCAGCUGUUGUCUGUUGUCCGUGGGGAUGCUAGGCUCCCCCGGGUAAUGGGAUGAGGCAAGCCUUUCUGGGACACCUUUCAAGUUGGGAAACUGGAGCACAGGCUCUGAGAGAAGGCAGC